rnacentral:misc_RNA from 1 species
AAGUCGUAACAAGGUUUCCGUAGGUGAACCUGCGGAAGGAUCAUCAAAAAAGAUGGCGUUUGUUUACUCUCUUUUCCGAGGUGGCAAGCGUCGUUUCAUCUUUUGUGCACUUGUCUGUGGAUUUCUGUUUUGGUUGCGGCGGCAGAGUUGGAUGUCGUGUGUGCCUAGCGCAUGCACGGCGUUCCACUUCUGUCCGCGGGCCUCACAGACCUCAUCACACACUUGAAUCUUUGUCUAAACUCGGUGACUCGCUUGCGAGCACGCCAAACAUAACAAAAAAUAACUUUUAACAACGGAUCUCUUGGCUCUCC